GCAGCUACCUGUAAAGACUGAAAACAUUUCUUGUGUGAGAUACUUGCUCUGUCUUCUAUUGGGAAGGGUUCUGCAUGCAGUACACCCAACAAGUUAUGCCCUGGUGACUUGUUUGACAAGUUGGCAGGUAAAAGGUGUGAACCCAUCCACUCUUGUCCUUGCUGAGACUUCUGUUUUUUGAUCUCUGAAAUAUCAAGCAACAAAGGAAGACCAGGAUUCCUUCUGAAGAUAACUGGUGAGCUAGACGAGUAAAGCAGAUCCAAAGCCACCGUUCAGACCUUCAGGAAUCACAGACCACAGCCUGUCUGUUGAUGUGCCUCAAAAGGCAACUUCUGUCUAACAGCAUUGCAUGAGAACACAGCUAACCAUUUGCUCAGUGCUUUCACUGUUUGCAGAGUGCAUCCUGGACAAGUGACAUCUCUCUUCCCUGCUUUGACUGUUUAGGUAGUCUUAAAAGGGCUAAAGCAAAUGACAGUAGUUAUUUUUUAUUAUUAUUAUUUUUUUAUGUUGUAUAUCUAUUAGUUCACAGUUUGAUUUGAUUUGAAGUCUGACUAUUGCCUCUUGGUACUUUAUGAGCUGACUCAAAAAGGUGAACGGAUAAGUAUGAAACUUGUACCAAAAGCAGAAGAGGAAAACAGCUAGCACAAGGCAUAUGGUGUGGCAGGAACAGCUGCACUAAGAGUCUUUUUUAUUUGUGAUUGAGUUAAUGAGAAAUAACUCAUAGAGGGAUGGUGGAAGUCUGAAGAGGUACCACAUUGUUGCAGCAAUGGCUUUUCUGGUUGCUUUUUAAAUAUUGGCCUGCACUAGUCUUUUCAACAGUGUUUACAUUACUGAAAACUGAAAAAAAUGCAUAAAUUCCAGGAAUAAGUUAGAAAUGCAUUUAUAAAUUUAUUCUCUAGAACUGUUCUAGAAAGAAUCUGUAAGUGAUUUCUGAAGGCUCCUCACAUUCAUAAAACCCCUAUAAAAAGAUCCAUUUGUAUGUCCAGUGUAUUUUUUACAUUGGUUUUUCUGCCUUCUGAGUACAUUAAAUUUAUAAUCUCAUAUGCUGUAGAUAAGAAUCCAAAUUAGUCCUUUGACAGUUUUUCUUUGAAUAUCAUUAGAUGUGGUAAUUAUGAGUAGAGAAAUAUCAGUUCCUGGACUUAGAGUCAAUUACAAAGGGGAUCAGCUAUAGGACACACAAGUUAUAAGUGAAUGGAAACAGUGAUUCCGGUCACCAUUCCCUUCACAACUGGUGACUCUGCUCACAUAUUAAGUUCUCAUAAAGAAAGAAUGAAUUAAGCUCAGAAUUUCACUGAAGCAAAAACUGUAUCUUGAACUUUACUCUGAACUUUUGGUCCCAAAGAGAUAAUGCUCUUCUUGCUGCCGCUGAACUCCUAAGCUACAUGUAAAAUCUAGACAGUUAUCUCUGCACUGUCUUCUCAAGAGAAAACUUUAUAUUGUGUGCCCAUUAGGAAAAGAUAGAAUUGGAAAAAAUAUUUCAAACAAAGCUUAGAAAUCAGUCAUUCUUCUUAUCUACAUAUCCCUAGCUAUAGCCUGACUGGUGGAAGAGAAGAAAAUUGCUUAAGUACCUUUGAGGAUAUUGCUGUAAGACAUUAAUGUUGCUUCUUUUGGCAUAAUGACAUAGAUAAAAAAGAUGAACAACAAAUAUCAACUUAUCAGAGACCUCAGGAGAGAUAGAUGCUUUCAUUCAACUUGUUUGUAUAAAUAAUUUCACCUGCUUUUUCCAGUUUCCCCAUCUCUUAUACAGCUCUAGUUACUUUUACCUGUCAGAAAGGGUCUUCUAUGGAUCACCCUCAUGAACUGCGCUUUCAUGCAUUCAACAUUGUCAGAUAUUUUAGUAACUAAUAACAUUGUAAUUUCAUAAUUGUGAUUGCAAAAAUACAGUAGGGAUAGAUUUUACAGUUAUUUAAAAGGGUGACUUCUGAAAGUUUUCUGCUGCUUCACUGCUUCUCUGUUCCUACAGUGACAUGGAUUUCCUAAGAAAAUCCUUGAUCCUUAGAGACCAGAUCACAUGAUCUCAUGCUGCAUAUCUCCACUCUAAACCAAGAAGUUCUGAUCCACUUACUGUUGAUGUUAGUUUGUACUGAGGAAUGUUGUUUCACUGCGUUGUUGUUUCAAAUGAGUUCUCAUUUUACUUUUCCCUUAACGUUCUUUGGAAUAACUAUAGUAUGAACUCGUGAACAAAAACUACUAGGUUUCAUCACAAAUAGACAAAUUCUUAACUAAAUAUAGUCAGAAAUAAUGAUUAAUUUGCCUGAAAUAAAUUGUAUACAAAAAUGAUGGGACAGGAGGAUAAGGUUCCAGACAUUCUAUAGCAUAAUUCUAUUUCAGUUGGUUAUUGAUUAUGAUGACAGCAAGGGCAAGAUCAAGUCUUUCAUAUCUCUUGAAGAGAAAUUGUCUUAAAAUACAUAAUCUUAAUAUAAUUUUGAGGAAAUAUAUAUUCACUCAUCUGACUCAACUUAACUUUGUUCCUUUUCCCCUUAGCCUUCUUGCAAGGUUCUGAAAACAAAACAAAACAGGAAAGAUGUAUCAUAUAUAUACCUUUUAAAUGUUGGAGGAGCAAAAUUUCUUCAGUGUUAAAUUGCUUUGUUAUUAAUAGAGGAAUUCUAACUCUGGUGCACUGGGUCUGUGAAAUGGAAACAAGAAGUUUCUUUGGUUGUUAAUGAUAAUUCAUGAGUGAUUUUUAGUCUGAAUAACAAAGCUGUAAGUACAGACUUAGGACCUUAGCGAUUCAAUAAAUUAAGGCAUGUCAGCUCAAUUUAUAGCUUUUUUCAUAGCUUUUCUAACAAUUUGCAGCCAUGUAAUCUUCCAAGUGCUGCAUAUCAUUGUGCAAGCAAUGUAAAAUAUGUCCACUUAAAUAGAAAGCAUGAAGCAUUGUACCAGGGUGCUUCUGUCAUACUUACUUCCUGUUUCCAAGAUCCAGAUUUAAAGCCUUCCUUGACAGAAUUACCAAUGUUCUUUUCUCCUAAGGAAAUGAAAUUAUGCUUAUCAGAUUUCCUUCAAGGGUGAGGUUUUGAAAUACCAUAUCCUUCCUUUUUACACAACUAGAAUUCUGGGAGUGGCUUUUUUUUUCUGUGUUUUUUGAUACUGGUGUUCUGGCUUCACUACGUUACCUUCUAAUUUGUAGUGAUUUCAAUGAGGAGAGAUUCAGGUCUGUCAUGCUGGUGAUUUACAUGAACAACUCCUUGUUCCAUAUGCAACACUGGUAUAACUUUUGAUGGGAAAGAAUUCACAGUACCUGACCUAUUUACCACUUUUUUAUUCCAUUUCUUGAGAUAAAAGUGUUGUAUAGAUGAAUCACAGACAGCAGAGUAUGCAUGUUUGGUUACUGUGUCACUUUCAGUUCAUCAUGAAGAAAAAUCUUUUCUAAUCAUCUAGCCUUUUACUUAAUAACACUUUUGAUAAAUUGCUUGUAUACAGUAGGUUAUCAAACCCAAACAUUAAAGACUUCAGUUUGACACUGCAGGAAUGAAUCAUAC
rnacentral:lncRNA from 7 species